GAUGAGAACGUAGUGAAAUGCGAUAGGUAGUGUGAAUUGCAGAUGUAACGUGAAUCAUCGAAUCUUUGAACGCAAAUUGCACUCUCUGGUAUUCCGGGGAGUAUGCCUGUUUGAGGGUCGCCAAAUCAAAAUCGAAAUUCAUUUGCUUUUUUGUAAAUGUUUAUCGGAUUUGAGCCGUCUUUUUUUAUUUUAAUUAAAGUGGCUUAAAAUGUAUUUUUUUGGUAUCGAAAUACGUUAUUUUACGAUCAAAUUGAUUAAAAAAACAAACGUUUUCGAAUGCCGCCUUUUUAAUGUAAUACGUUUGACUGUGAUGGUUAAUCAUAGUUUCAUUCGUAUACGAUUUUUUAAUUUUUGACCUCAAAUCAGGUAAGAACACCCGCUGAACUUAAGCAUAUCAAUAAGCGGAGGA
rnacentral:misc_RNA from 1 species